UACGUAGGGUGCAAGCGUUGUCCGGAAUUAUUGGGCGUAAAGCGCACGUAGGCGGCUUAGCAAGUCGGAUGUGAAAUCCCUCGGCUCAACCAAGGAAGUGCAUCCGAAACUGCUGAGCUUGAGUACGAAAGAGGAUCGCGGAAUUCCUGGUGUAGCGGUGAAAUGCGCAGAUAUCAGGAGGAACACCGGUGGCGAAGGCGGGUCUCUGGGACGGUACUGACGCUGAGACGCGAAAGCGUGGGGAGCGAACAGG
rnacentral:rRNA from 1 species